UGCCGAGGUUUUCCUCGGUAGUUAACUGCAGCCGAUUCCAAACAAAUUCGGCAGCUAACUGCCGAGGGAGCAU
rfam:Medicago truncatula strain A17 chromosome 2, whole genome shotgun sequence.